UACGAAGGGGGCUAGCGUUGUUCGGAUUUACUGGGCGUAAAGCGCACGUAGACGGAUUGUUAAGUCGGGGGUGAAAUCCUGGAGCUCAACUCCAGAAUUGCCUUCGAUACUGGCUUUCUAGAGGCUGGAAGAGGUUAGUGGAAUUCCCAGUGUAGAGGUGAAAUUCGUAGAUAUUGGGAAGAACACCAGUGGCGAAGGCGGCCCACUGGUCCGGUACUGACGCUGAGGUGCGAAAGCGUGGGGAGCAAACAGG
rnacentral:rRNA from 1 species